rnacentral:rRNA from 1 species
ACCGGGUCGCGAGUUGUAAUUUGAUGAGGUAAACUUGGUGGGCGCCUGGGUCUAAAUCCUUUGGAAAAGGGUAUCAUAGAGGGUGACAAUCCCGUCUGUGGCUCAGUCAGCGGUCUAUCGUGUAAGUUGCCUUCAAAGAGUCGGGUUGUUUGGGAAUGCAGCCCUAGGCUGGUGGUAAAUUCCAUCUAAAGCUAAAUAUUCGUGAGAGACCGAUAGCGAACAAGUACCGUGAGGGAAAGUUGAAAAGCACUCUGGAGAGAGAGUCAAACAGCACGUGAAAUUGUUAACAGGGAAACGUUGGGCCCCAGUAGGCGCCUCGCGUAAAAGCAACCAUCUCUUCCCCGAGGGUAUCCGUGCCGGGUGGAUGAGUCCUUAAGAAGGGCCAUUGCCUGGUCGGUGCCCGAGGGGGGUGGUGCACUUUUGCGUGGGCGGGUCAACGUCAGUUAGAGCCACCGGAAAAUCCUGGGAGGAAUGUUGGCGAAGGCAACGGACCCACUUAUAGCCUCCCUUGAAAACGGUGACCCUGACUGAGGAGUCGCAGCCUCAUCAUAUGGCGCGCGCGUCUCCCUUCCCCCUGUGGGUAAGGCAGCUUGCUGACUUGCCUCGGUAAGGGAGGGGACUGCGCGUGUGCCUGGUGGGGCCACGGACGUUGGCGAAAUGGUUCUCAACGACCCGUCUUGAAACACGGACCAAGGAGUCUAACAUGUGUGCGAGUAUUUGGGUGCAAAACCCGAAUGCGCAAUGAAAGUGACCGCAGGGGAGAAGGGUGACCCUCUCGGGGGUCGCCCCGCAUCCUCGACCGAUCCGAUUGCCCUCCGUGGCGACGGGUUUGAGUUUGAGCAUAUCUGUUAGGACCCGAAAGAUGGUGAACUAUGCCUGAGUAGGAUGAAGCCAGAGGAAACUCUGGUGGAGGUCCGUAGCGAUUCUGACGUGCAAAUCGAUCGUCGAACUUGGGUAUAGGGGCGAAAGACUAAUCGAACCAUCUAGUAGCUGGUUCCCGCCGAAGUUUCCCUCAGGAUAGCAGAAACGCGUUAACAGUAUUAUGAGGUAAAGCGAAUGAUUAGAGGCCUUGGGGGCGGAAUGCCCUUAACCUAUUCUCAAACUUUAAAUAUGUAAGAAGUCCUUGCCACUUAAUUGGGCAUGGACGUUGUUGUAUGAGCGUUUCUAGUGGGCCAUUUUUGGUAAGCAGAACUGGCGAUGUGGGAUGAACCAGACGGGAGGUUAAGGUGCCGGAAUGUACGCUCAUGUAGACACCACAAAAGGUGUUGGUUCAUCUAGACAGCAGGACGGUGGCCAUGGAAGUCGGAAUCCGCUAAGGAGUGUGUAACAACUCACCUGCCGAAUGAACUAGCCCCGAAAAUGGAGGGCGCUCAAGCAUACUA